rnacentral:lncRNA from 13 species
GCCCUGAGCAAAACCGUGAAAAAAAUGUGAAGAUUAUUUGUGUCAUCACCAGAUCAGUCAUUCAUUUGAGAAACUGCAGGAGCAAGUUACCAGCUCUAGUUCACAUGCAAGGGGAGAAGAUCACACAAGAGAAUAAAUGCCAAGAGGUAGAAAUCAUCAGAGGCCAUUUUAGAAGCAGCCUGCUAUAGAAGCACAUGGUGACAGAAUACAAUUAACAAAGAAACAAAGGUGAUGGGAUGGUACAUGGCUCAAUGACACUACUGAAG